UCGCAUCGAUGAAGAACGCAGCGAAAUGCGAUAAGUAAUGUGAAUUGCAGAAUUCAGUGAAUCAUCGAAUCUUUGAACGCACCUUGCGCUCCUUGGAAUUCCGAGGAGCAUGCCUGUUUGAGUGUCAGUAAAUUCUCAACUCGUUCAGCUUUUUAUGGUUGAAGUGAGCUUGGAUAUGGAGGUCUUGCGGGUCCAAUUUCAUUGGAUCGGCUCCUCUUAAAUGCAUUAGCGGAACC
rnacentral:rRNA from 1 species